UCUCUAUCUAUCUCUCUCACACACACUCGAACCCACGCUCUCUCAUAUACGCACGCACUCUUUCUCGCGCUCUUUCUCUCUUCACUCUCCAUUCUCGCUGUCAAUAACUUUUUGGGGUUUUCCACAGAAGUAAAAGAAAUGUAAUGUCCGAUGAUAAGCACCUGAUGAAAAAUAUGAAGCAUUCUGCCAGAUAGAGACUACAGUGUGGCGAUUGCAGACGCGUACCUUCAGUGCACUGUCCCAGUGGCGCCAUCCACAUGAAGUGAGCACAGGAGAAUUCGACACAGCGCUGUACUCAGAGGAGUGAGGAUUACACAGUUUACUCAACGAAUCAGUUGUACUAUGGACAAUAUCGCGAAUAUGGGCAGUGACGAAGAGGCCUGAGUUAACAGAUCGCCUGCUGCUGCUGUGUGCGUGGCACGGAUCGUCAGUGACAGUCUUGGAGGAAGGAAAAAGGUGUGGGACCAGCCGUGAAAUGGGAAACGUCUGUUUUACAUGUGAAGCCCAUCUGGAGAGAAAGUGUGCUUUCAGGCCUGGAUUUAAGGAAUUACUCAACAACAAAAAGGAAACGUCACUUAACGGAAUGUCGUUUUCCCUCUUUCCUUCUCAUUAACAACAACAUGUUGGAUUGUCCCGUCCCUUUAAAC
rnacentral:lncRNA from 1 species